UAAGCCUGCAUUGGUGAGAGGUCCCCCUU
rnacentral:piRNA from 1 species